rnacentral:rRNA from 1 species
UAAAGGUAGUGCCAAGAAAAGCUGAGUUGAUGUUGAACAAAAGAUUCCGGUACCCGAAACCGACACAGGUAGGCAAGUAGAGAAUACUAAGGGGCGCGAGGUAACUCUCUCCAAGGAACUCGGCAAAAUGACCCCGUAACUUCGGGAGAAGGGGUGCCACCGAGAGGUGGUCGCAGUGAAGAGUCCCAGGCGACUGUUUAGCAAAAACAUAGGUCUCUGCAAACUCGAAAGAGGAGGUAUAGGGGCUGACGCCUGCCCAGUGCCGGAAGGUUAAAGAAGUUGGUCAGUCGAAAGAUGAAGCUAACGACUGAAGCCCCGGUGAACGGCGGCCGUAACUAUAACGGUCCUAAGGUAGCGAAAUUCCUUGUCGGGUAAGUUCCGACCCGCACGAAAGGCGUAACGAUCUGGGAGCUGUCUCGGAGAGAGGCUCGGCGAAAUAGGAUUGUCUGUGAAGAUACGGACUACCUGCAUUUGGACAGAAAGACCCUAUGAAGCUUUACUGUAGCUUGGAAUUGUGUUCGGGCUUGCUGUGCGCAGGAUAGGUGGGAGGCUAUGAAGGUAUGCUUGUGGGUGUACUGGAGCCGUCAGUGAGAUACCACUCUCAGGGGGCUAGAAUUCUAACUAAAGAAAGGACAGUUUCAGGUGGGCAGUUUGACUGGGGCGGUCGCCUCCAAAAAGGUAACGGAGGCGUACAAAGGUUCCUUCAGACUGGUUGGAAAUCAGUCGCAGAGUGCAAAGGCAGAAAGGAGCUUGACUGCGAGAAUUACAGUUCGAGCAGGGUGGAAACACGGUCUUAGUGAUCCGACGGUGCUGUGUGGAAGGGCCGUCGCUCAACGGAUAAAAGUUACUCUAGGAUAACAGGCUGAUCUCCCCCAAGAGUUCACAUCGACGGGGAGGUUUGGCACCUCGAUGUCGGCUCAUCGCAACCUGGGGCGGAAGUACGUCCCAAGGGUUGGGCUGUUCGCCCAUUAAAGCGGUAUGUGAGCUGGGUUCAGAACGUCGUGAGACAGUUCGGUCCAUAUCCGAUGUAGGCGAGAGAAUAUUGAGAGGAGCCUUCCUUAGUACGAGAGGACCGGGAAGGACGCACCGCUGGUGUACCUGUUAUGAUGCCAAUUGUAAACGCAGGGUAGCCAAGUGCGGAGAGGAUAACCGCUGAAAGCAUCUAAGUGGGAAGCCCACCUCAAGAUGAGUAUUCUGUGUUAAGGUCACGGGAAGACGACCCGUAAAUAGGCACGAGGUGGAAGUGCAGUAAUGUAUGAAGCCGAAGUGUACUAAUAGACCGUCAGCUUGAUC